rnacentral:lncRNA from 1 species
CCCGGGCUUGUAUUUCCUAUCAUGAUUACCUUGUUAAAGGGCUGCUGCUAACAAAUAAGCUAUCAAGCCAAAAGUUCGAAAUGGUGAAGUUGAAAACAUCCCUCCGUAAAUUUUACUGACGGUUGACCUUUAUGGAAUAUCAUUUUUUUACAGAUGAUAUCGGAUAUGUUCAUUAUGUCGUAACAACAAUCCCAUUCCCUUUUCAUGAAUGUGACCCAUACUGAAUUAGACUAUUUACUGGUUUAUAAUAUUGCUUAAGUUGCUGCUGCUAUCAGUUGUCUCUGUUGCUAUGAAAGAUUUUGGCUUUUGUGUUUUCAUCUAUUAUCUUAAAAUUUAUAUAGUAGAUUGGUAGAAACUGUAAACAACAAAAUUAUCAGUUGUACAAGAUCUACCAUGUGAUACAAAACCAAUAGAUGACCAUGAGACAUUGUCAUCUCAGGAUCACCAGUAAAGAG